rnacentral:rRNA from 1 species
GACGAACGCUGGCGGCGUGCUUAACACAUGCAAGUCGAACGGAAAGGCACUGCUUUUGUGGGGUGCUCGAGUGGCGAACGGGUGAGUAACACGUGAGUAACCUGCCCUUGACUUUGGGAUAACUUCAGGAAACUGGGGCUAAUACCGGAUAGGAUCUCCUGCUGCAUGGUGGGGGUUGGAAAGUUUCGGCGGUUGGGGAUGGACUCGCGGCUUAUCAGCUUGUUGGUGGGGUAGUGGCUUACCAAGGCUUUGACGGGUAGCCGGCCUGAGAGGGUGACCGGCCACAUUGGGACUGAGAUACGGACCAGACUCCAACGGGAGGCAGCAGUGGGGAAUAUUGCACAAUGGGAGGAAGCCUGAUGCAGAAACGCCGCGUGCGGGAUGACGGCCUUCGGGUUGUAAACCGCUUUCGCCUGUGACGAAGCGUGAGUGACGGUAAUGGGUAAAGAAGCACCGGCUAACUACGUG